rnacentral:rRNA from 1 species
CAAUAGCGUAUAUUAAAGUUGUUGCAGUUAAAAAGCCCGUAGUUGAAUUUUUGCUUGCCGCCGAUGUCGGAACUUCCGUACGUUCGGCGGCGUGCAUCCUUGGGUGGAACCUGUGUGGCAUUAGGUUGUCGUGCAGGGGAUGCUCAUCGUUUACUGUGAAAAAAUUAGAGUGUUCAAAGCAGGCUUACGCCGUUGAAUAUAUUAGCAUGGAAUAAUAAGAUAGGACCUUGGUACUAUUUUGUUGGUUUGCGCACCGAGGUAAUGAUUAACAGGGACAGUUGGGGGUAUUCGUAUUCCAUUGUCAGAGGUGAAAUUCUUGGAUUUCUGGAAGACGAACUACUGCGAAAGCAUUUACCAAGGAUGUUUUCAUUAA